rnacentral:rRNA from 1 species
UACGAAGGGGGCUAGCGUUGUUCGGAAUCACUGGGCGUAAAGGGCGCGUAGGCGGCCGUUCAAGUCGGGGGUGAAAGCCUGUGGCUCAACCACAGAAUGGCCUUCGAUACUGGACGGCUCGAGACCGGAAGAGGUCAGUGGAACUGCGAGUGUAGAGGUGAAAUUCGUAGAUAUUCGCAAGAACACCGGUGGCGAAGGCGGCAUCCUGGACCGACAUUGACGCUGAGGCGCGAAAGCCAGGGGAGCAAACGGG